rnacentral:ncRNA from 1 species
AAGAAAACAGUGAACCCAGUACAUUUUAUUUUUUUCAAGAGAGCUGAUGGUUGGUGCAAAUCAGUAAAAAAUAAUUUCGAAGUUCCAGUUCACCCAAUGUGCCUUUCGAAAUAAGAAAGGUCGGUAACAGCCGUUAUCUGUUUACAAGUGCAGUCUCGAUAGACUGAACUUGGGUGGUACCGCGAAACUCAAACCAGUUCGUCCCAAGA